rnacentral:lncRNA from 1 species
CGCUGAGGGACCCGGCGGGAACAAACCGCCGCCGCGGCGGGAGCUGGGCUCGAGUGGCCGGAGGCGGGCCCUUGUCUUCGCCGCCGCUCCUGCACCCUGUGCUCCCUGAAGCCGCCGCCUUCAGAACGCUCAGCCCCUGGAUGUUAAGGCUCACUCGGGCGCCAGCCGCAGCCAGGGAAGUGGCGGCGGUCCCCACCCGUCCUCUCCCCAAGGCGGCGCCCGGGCCACCGGGCCGAAGCGCAGUGGGAGCGCGAGGCUGAGACGCCGGGACCCACGCCGCCCCAGCGCGGCCCGCCGGCGCCCACCCGAGCCCGCACGGCUUCCAGCCCGAGGGGAGACGCAUUCGAGUGAUCACCAGGAGCGAACUUGGCGCCCGCAGCCUUGGGCCUGGGAGAGCUCCUGAGGGCAAAGCCUGGGCCUCAUCCUCUUGUGGAUCCAGGAGAGCAGUCGCUGAAGAGAAAGAGGAAGAAAAGGAGUGGCUAGAAAAGAAAGUUUAUUUCCACUGCAGGAAGCACUGCCUCCCAUCUGAGAAAUGUCCCAAGCAGGAAUCAGGAGGACAAAGCCAUGAAGGAAAAGCCUCACUGAAGAAGAGGAACCUAAGAGAAGCAGGUUCUGCUCUGAUGAACUCCCAUAAAGGCAUUCCCAUAAAGGUGUGGGCCUGAGUGAUAAUCUAGAUAUGGUACAGUUGACAUCAGGUAUAUGGCGGCAGCCAGAAAUUCAACUUUGUCCAUCAGCUCUCUGCACAACAGGAAAGAUGGUGACCUUCCAGGCUUAUCUGAGGUCCAAGAGUAACAUCACAAACACAGUAACUACACCCAGCCAAAGAAAAGCAUACCUGAAUCCAAGAGAGUAUUUACACUGGCUUCAGGGAUGAGGAAAUAAAGGAGUAAGUGAUUAGGAUCAUUGUUUUCCUUUCUCUUUGGUACAAAAUAAAUGAGCUUCCUUUCUUU